GCCGAAGUGGCGGAAUGGCAGACGCGCCAGCUUGAGGGGCUGGUAUCCGUAAGGAUGUGCAGGUUCAAGUCCUGUCUUCGGCA
rnacentral:tRNA from 1 species